UGCAACAGUUAACAUUUUCUAAGGCUCUCUUUUCUAUAGGGUUAUUUAAUCUAGUUGUUCUUCCAUAAUUCAUCAAACUAACAAGUUAUAUGAUACACAGGAUUCAGUAACUAUUGUAGGAUAUCCACUUGGUGGAGAUACAAUCUCUGUGACAAAGGGUGUGGUAUCACGAAUUGAGGUUAGUAUGCUCAUGGAUCCUCUGAUCUGCUUGGUAUUCAGAUUGAUGCUGCAAUAAACCCUGGAAACAGUGGUGGUCCUGCCUUCAAUGAUCGUGGUGAGUGUAUUGGUGUGGCAUUCCAGGUUUUCAGAUCCGAAGACACUAAAAAUAUUGGAUAUGUUAUUC